UAAGCAUAUCAAUAAGCGGAGGAAAAGAAACCAACAGGGAUUGCCUCAGUAACGGCGAGUGAAGCGGCAAAAGCUCAAAUUUGAAAUCUAGCACCUUCGGUGUUCGAGUUGUAAUUUGAAGAUGGUAAUCUUGGGUUUGGCUCUUGUCUAUGUUCCUUGGAACAGGACGUCAUAGAGGGUGAGAAUCCCGUCUGAUGAGAUGCCCAUUCCUUUGUAAGAUACUAUCGAAGAGUCGAGUUGUUUGGGAAUGCAGCUCUAAGUGGGUGGUAAAUUCCAUCUAAAGCUAAAUAUUGGCGAGAGACCGAUAGCGAACAAGUACAGUGAUGGAAAGAUGAAAAGAACUUUGAAAAGAGAGUGAAAAAGUACGUGAAAUUGUUGAAAGGGAAGGGCAUUAGAUCAGACUUGGUGUUUUAUGAUUAUCUUCUCUUCUUGAGUUGUGCACUCGUAUUUCACUGGGCCAGCAUCGAUUCGGAUGGCAAGAUAAUGACAGUUGAACGUGGCUCCACUUGUGGAGUGUUAUAGCUUCUGUUGAUAUUGCCUGUCUGGAUCGAGGGCUGCGUCUUAUGACUAGGAUGCUGGCGUAAUGAUCUAAUGCCGCCCGU
rnacentral:rRNA from 1 species